UACGUAGGGGGCAAGCGGUUGUCCGGAUUUACUGGGCGUAAAGAGCGUGUAGGCGGCCAGGCAGGUCUGUUGUGAAAACUGGAGGCUCAACUUCCAGACGUCGACAGAAACCGCUUGGCUAGAGUCCGGAAGAGGAGAGUGGAAUUCCGUGGUGUAAGCGGUGAAAUGCGCAGAUAAUCAGGAAGAACACCGAUGGCGAAGGCAGCUCUCUGGGACGGUACCUGACGCUGAGACGCGAAAGCGUGGGGAGCGAACAGG
rnacentral:rRNA from 1 species